GUUCCUUGGAGGUUAACAUGAGAUAGAAAACUAAGUUAACACAACUCAUCGACUGCCCUUGCUUUGCUUUGCUUUGCUUUUAGAAUGCCAUCGGGUUUUGUCAUGUUGGGAACAAGUUAACUUAGGCCAGUUGACUAAGAUCAAGGUAUGUGAACAUGCCUGGCUGGGAGAGAAGUAGAGUAAAUGUUGGUUCGCAUUCCCUCCCGACGCCCACAAUGCCAGCCAUCCCUGACUUUUCUUGCCUUUAUUGGGAAGAAUAUAAGGUGGCAGAAACAAACUUCCCACCCUUUUUCCAAAUAUUUACUGAAGGAGUCUUGAGGAG
rnacentral:lncRNA from 1 species